rnacentral:tRNA from 1 species
GCGUGUGUAAUGUAAUGGUAGCAUAACUCACUUCCAAUGAGUUCGUGCCGGUUCGAGUCCGACCACACGUA